AGCAGUAGCCGCGGUAAUACGAAGGGUGCAAGCGUUACUCGGAAUUACUGGGCGUAAAGCGUGCGUAGGUGGUUGUUUAAGUCUGCUGUGAAAGCCCUGGGCUCAACCUGGGAAUUGCAGUGGAUACUGGGCAACUAGAGUAAGGUAGAGGAUAGUGGAAUUUCCGGUGCAGCAGUGAAAUGCGUAGAGAUCGGAAGGAACAUCUGUGGCGAAGGCGACUAUCUGGGCCAUUACUGACACUGAGGCACGAAAGCGUGGGGAGCAAACAGGAUUAGAUACCCCGGUAGUCCCUGUCUCUUAUAC
rnacentral:rRNA from 1 species